UUCCCAGUGGUUCAGUGGUUAAGACUCAGCACUGUCACUACUGGGGCCCAGGUCCAAUCCUUGGUUGGGGAA
rfam:TPA: Bos taurus chromosome 14, whole genome shotgun sequence.